rnacentral:lncRNA from 1 species
GCUACAAUGAUUUCUUGUUUGUCCCUACCCACUUUGCAGUGACACCUAACCCUCAAAUCCUAAAGUACAUUUCAUAACCUAAAUCUGCAAUCAAAAGCUACAUUCUGAUUAAAUCCUCACGACUUGCAGAGGCCUGGUGCACAAUUGUUACUCCAUCAAUAUUGUCCAUAUGAGUGAUUUACAGAAUAAAUGGAUAAAUUGUGCCUACUUCAAAAUCAUAUUUUAUAAUGAGAAAUAAUAAUAUACCAUAGAGUGUACAUUAGAUUUUAAUCUAGAUUCAGCUCAUUCUCAAAAUUCAAUUCUGGUUUAUAAAACUGUUGGUUAAGCUCUACACGGGGAGGUAAACUGAAUCACUUUCAUCCUCAGAUAAUUAGGAAUACCAGAUCACACUCAAUAUUUAGGUCAUCUGUGUUUGUUGCCUGUGGAUUUUUGCCUGUUACCUUAACAUCUGGAAAAUGUCUCUCAAGUAGGUUAAAGGAAGGCAGUGGGAGUGACAGGAGGAAGCUGAAGGAGAUAAAAAAAAAACAGAGAAGAAAGAAAGAAGGAGACAGAGAAAGCUGAAGAGAGUCUAGGGCCACAAAGAUGGAAAACAUGGUCACAACAAAUGGAAAAAAACCUAACAUGUCCAAUUCAGACUUCUGCUUCCAGUUAUUUUUAAGUUUCCUGGUUUUGGUGUUAAAUUUAAACUUUGUGAGGCAUUCUAAAAUAGCUAAUCAAUACAAGAAUAAACUUAAAAAUUCAAUGGCAUUAAAAAUAUAUAUGCAUGUGUCUCUAGGUACCUCUUCGCAGCCUGAGUGAAGCUGUCAGCUCACGUUACUGUUAGAAGUACAAAUGCAAUAAGUUGAAUUAUAACUUGAAUAAUUUGAUAAAUCACUAAUCAAAUAACUCUGUUUAGCAAUAAUGGGGGUAUUACUUGAAAGCAACGAAGCCGUGUUAUUUUCUGGUGUCCUAAUGUCAAUUUGCUCUCUGUGAUGAAGUCUGAGAAUGAGAUGAGCUGAAACUGUAAACCCAUUUAAAGAAAAACC